rnacentral:rRNA from 1 species
GAUCAUGGCUCAGGAUGAACGCUAGCUACAGGCUUAACACAUGCAAGUCGAGGGGCAGCAUGAACUUAGCUUGCUAAGUUUGAUGGCGACCGGCGCACGGGUGAGUAACACGUAUCCAACCUUCCGUUUACUCAGGGAUAGCCUUUCGAAAGAAAGAUUAAUACCUGGUAGUAUGGUGAAAUUGCAUGAUAGCACCAUUAAAGAUUUAUUGGUAAACGAUGGGGAUGCGUUCCAUUAGGUAG